rnacentral:rRNA from 1 species
GACGGGGCCCGGCGACAAGCGGUGGAGCAUGUGGUUAAUUCGAAGCAACGCGAAGAACCUUACCAGGCCUUGACAUGCAGAGAACUUUCCAGAGAUGGAUUGGUGCCUUCGGGAACUCUGACACAGGUGCUGCAUGGCUGUCGUCAGCUCGUGUCGCGAGAUGUUGGGUUAAGUCCCGUAACGAGCGCAACCCUUGUCCUUAGUUACCAGCACGUUAUGGUGGGCACUCUAAGGAGACUGCCGGUGACAAACCGGAGGAAGGUGGGGAUGACGUCAAGUCAUCAUGGCCCUUACGGCCUGGGCUACACACGUGCUACAAUGGUCGGUACAAAGGGUUGCCAAGCCGCGAGGUGGAGCUAAUCCCAUAAAACCGAUCGUAGUCCGGAUCGCAGUCUGCAACUCGACUGCGUGAAGUCGGAAUCGCUAGUAAUCGUGAAUCAGAAUGUCACGGUGAAUACGUUCCCGGGCCUU